GAUGAACGCUGGCGGCGCGCCUAACACAUGCAAGUCGAACGGUUAAAGCACCUUCGGGUGUGUAUAAAGUGGCGAACGGCUGAGUAACACGUGGGCAACCUGCCCCUCGCACCGGGAUAGCCUCGGGAAACCGUGGUUAAUACCGGAUACUCCGCGACCCCCGCAUGGGGGACGCGGGAAAGCCCAGACGGCGAGGGAUGGGCCCGCGGCCUGUUAGCUUGUUGGCGGGGUAGUGGCCCACCAAGGCGAUUAUGGGUAGCCGGGUUGAGAGACCGACCGGCCAGAUUGGGACUGAGACACGGCCCAGACUCC
rnacentral:rRNA from 1 species